rnacentral:rRNA from 1 species
UACGUAGGGGGCAAGCGUUGUCCGGAAUCAUUGGGCGUAAAGAGCGUGUAGGCGGCUCGGUAAGUCCGCUGUGAAAGUCCAGGGCUCAACCCUGGAAUGCCGGUGGAAACUGUCGAGCUAGAGUCCGGAAGAGGCGAGUGGAAUUCCUGGUGUAGCGGUGAAAUGCGCAGAUAUCAGGAGGAACACCAAUGGCGAAGGCAGCUCGCUGGGACGGUACUGACGCUGAGGCGCGAAGGCGUGGGGAGCGAACGGG